rnacentral:rRNA from 1 species
UACGAAGGGGGGCUAGCGUUGCUCGGAAUCACUGGGCGUAAAGGGUGCGUAGGCGGGUCUUUAAGUCAGGGGUGAAAUCCUGGAGCUCAACUCCAGAACUGCCUUUGAUACUGAAGAUCUUGAGUUCGGGAGAGGUGAGUGGAACUGCGAGUGUAGAGGUGAAAUUCGUAGAUAUUCGCAAGAACACCAGUGGCGGAAGGCGGCUCACUGGCCCGAUACUGACGCUGAGGCACGAAAGCGUGGGGAGCAAACAGG